rnacentral:rRNA from 1 species
AACGAACGCUGGCGGCAGGCUUAACACAUGCAAGUCGAACGGGUGUAGCAAUACAUCAGUGGCAGACGGGUGAGUAACACGUGGGAACCUUCCUAGGGGUACGGAACAACUCAGGGAAACUUGAGCUAAUACCGUAUACGUCCGUGAGGAGAAAGAUUUAUCGCCCUUAGACGGGCCCGCGUCGGAUUAGGUAGUUGGUGGGGUAACGGCCUACCAAGCCUACGAUCCGUAGCUGAUCUGAGAGGAUGAUCAGCCACACUGGGACUGAGACACGGCCCAGACUCCUACGGGAGGCAGCAGUGGGGAAUCUUGGACAAUGGGCGCAAGCCUGAUCCAGCCAUGCCGCGUGAGUGAAGAAGGCCUCGGUU